rnacentral:rRNA from 1 species
AACGAACGCUGGCGGCAGGCCUAACACAUGCAAGUCGAGCGCGCCCUUCGGGGUGAGCGGCGGACGGGUGAGUAACGCGUGGGAACGUGCCCUUUUCUACGGAAUAGCCUCGGGAAACUGAGAGUAAUACCGUAUACGCCCUUUGGGGGAAAGAUUUAUCGGAAAAGGAUCGGCCCGCGUUGGAUUAGGUAGUUGGUGGGGUAAUGGCCUACCAAGCCGACGAUCCAUAGCUGGUUUGAGAGGAUGAUCAGCCACACUGGGACUGAGACACGGCCCAGACUCCUACGGGAGGCAGCAGUGGGGAAUCUUAGACAAUGGGGGCAACCCUGAUCUAGCCAUGCCGCGUGAGUGAUGAAGGCCUUAGGGUUGUAAAGCUCUUUCAGCUGGGAAGAUAAUGACGGUACCAGCAGAAGAAGCCCCGGCUAACUCCGUGCCAGCAGCCGCAGUAA